AACUAAAAAAAUUAUUUAAUUUUAUGAUUCAAAAUAUUUAAUCUAUAUGACAUAUUAAAUAAUAAAUAAUUUAAACAUUAUUAACAAAUUAAUAAAUUAUUGGACCCAUACUAAUGAUCUAAAUUUAUUUGAUGAAAAAAUAAUCUAAACAUGUUAAUGGCAUAGUAAUAAAUAAAUAAAUAAUUCAUAUUCAUUGCAUUUCAUCCAGAUUCAUCGCACAAAGUUAUAAACUCAGAUUCAUCGCAUUUCACCGAUCAUCAUCAUCCUUCAGGAAAAUCCCUAAAUCACAAAAAAAAAAACCCUUCUUUCAUCUAUCGUCAUGUUUAUUGCAGUCGCGAAAAUCCUAAGGCUUAGAGAUUCAUCAACAAUCGCCCACUCCUUUGUGUAGCACUGUGAGUAAUUUGACUUUAUCCUUUAGGAAAACCCCUAAAUCGCAAAAACCCCUUCAUCUAUCGUCAUGUUUAUUAAGGUCGCAACAAUCUUGAGGUUUAGCGAUUCAUCAACAAUCGUCCCUUCCCUUGUAUGCUUAAAAGAAGCUGCGAGAAAGGAUAUGGGUUCUACAUUUUUUGAUGCAAACUUGUAUCCACAAGGUUCUACGGGUGGUGUUCCAGAGCCCCUUCACCCUAAACCUGGUAUGUUAAAGUAUUUGAUAAGAUAUAGAUGCUUGAACCACUCAGUUUAACUGCUUUUCAUUUGUAUUAGGACUUUGUUCGGCUUCCUUGGAAAAACCAGUCUAGCCAGAACAUUCAAUGCCUGCUAGUGUUACUAUUCAAUCUGCUAACAGUGGUAUUUUUUUCUGUUUUUGAACGCCAACUGUUUGUGAAAAGCAUUUUGUUGCCUUAUGAGCAUGUCAUUGCUGUCAAAUUGAACUCUGUUGAUUUUCAGGCUUAACUUAUCCGGUGGGAAAGAAAUUGAGAAAGGUAGAAGGUUUGUACUUCGUGCCCCAGUAUAAGACGGAGAGUGAGAAUGAUGAUGAGGAUGACAAAGCAUUGGUGGUAUCCAACACUGGAAAACACUUCACUUGUGAUGACCUUUAUCUAAGUGACAGUGAUGAUUCCUAUGUUGACCUUGAUUUUGAAGUGCAACCUUAUCUGAUGAAUAAAGUUGGGGAGGUAGAAGGUGCCUUGAUUGAGUUGGCACACGAACAUCAUUUAAGGGUUACCGAUGAAGUCAGGAAUAAGAUAUCAGCUUUGAAGACAGCUCUACUGAAUGAAAGUCAGAACUCUCUUUCUUCCCUUCUUCGAGUUGAGAAAUACAAAGAAACCAGGCAGGAGUUGGAUAAAAAGUUUGACACUUAAUAUCAACGCCAAAUGGAACCAAUGCAUUUUGUAGUGGUGGUGACCAGGCCUAGAGGACUCAAGAUGGUUAUUCCGAUAGUGAAAAUACCAGUCGCCUUUAUGUGUUAGACUUGCAGGUAUAUAUCAAUGCAUUCCUGAUGUUUCUUUUUAGGUGAAUGGAAGUGAUCUUUACUCGAGUUAUCUCUUUUCGGGCUUUCUGUGGAAUUAUUUUCAAUGGACCAAUGUUGUUUGAGUAAAUCAUCAUUUUCGCCCUCCAAAUUCUAAGUGUCCAUUAAUUUAGUCUUUCAAAUUUACGAAAUGGCAGUUUAUUCCGUAAACAUUAGUCGGAUCUUGACUUUGAGUCGGAUCCAUGGCCAACAAUCUCUGACAGUGCUAAAGAUUUGGUAAAACUGAUGUUGGAUAGAGACCCUAAGAAUAGAAUCUCUGCUCAUAAUGUCUUAUGGGUGAUAUCUGAAGAGUGGUUCAAUGAGAUGAGGAACAAUGCAUUAAGUACAAACUUUGAAUAAUUGAGCUCAUUUUGAAUUUUCUUUUGGGUUAUUUGUAUCUCCCAUGGUCAGCUAAAGGUCUCAUGUAUCUACACAAUGAAGUUGAUCCUCCCAUAUUUCAUCGGGAUGUCAAGGCCAGCAACAUAUUAUUGGACUCAAAGCUCGCUGCAAAAGUGGCAGAUUUUGGACUUUCAUGGCUUGCCCCAGUUCCAGAUAUGGAAGGCAUUGUUCCUGGUCAUGUAUCUACAGUGGUAAAAGGGACACCAGGUUACCUUGAUCCGAAGUACUUCUUAACUCACAAGUUGACCGACAAGAGUGAUGUUUACAGUCUCGGUGUUGUGUUUCUUGAACUUUUAACCCGAAUGCAUCCUAUCUCACAUGGCAAAAAUAUUGUUAGAGAGGUCAUUCUUUCAUACCAAGCUGGCGUAAUAUUUUCAAUCAUCGACGAGCGAAUGGGGUCAGUAACAAUACUGAUGUGGGAUGUUGAUGCAAUUAUGUGCAUUUCUUGGAGCAGUUGUCCCGAAUUGGCUUAAUAGUAACUUAAAAUUCUUUGCUGUGUUAUCCUUCCGGCGUGUUUAGAAUUUCUUCUACCGUCAUUCACUCUCAGCCAGUUGACAUUUUUUUUGUGCUCCAGUCAUGUUUCAUUGUGAUUCAACCAGCUGCAGCUUCUCUGGUGAUGGUGAAACUCAUUCAUCCCUGCAAGUCCUUAUACAUGCUAGCUGUUAUAAACUUGUUAUUAAGUGAAUUAUUUCAAUUGGUACCAUUAAGAAGUUUGACUAACAUUGUGUUUUGUUUCUCUUUUAGAUCAUUUCUAUAGAGAAUAUUCAACAAAUAAUCAUUGUUAUUAAGUGAAUUAUUUCAAUUGGUACCGGUUUCUAUCACUAACCUUUAGAUGUGGCAUGGUUUGUAUGAUGCAAAUGGUUGAAAAUCAAAAGGUUGAGGAGGAAAAUCUACAAGAUCAAAUACAAAUGGUUGAAGAGGAUAAGGACAUAGAAAUGUUGCCAAAAUGAAAGCCAAAGAAGAAGAAGAAAACUUAUAUAUGAAGAAAGUGUUAUGACUUA